UUAAAGUUGUUGCGGUUAAAAGCUCGUAGUUGGAUUUCUGUUGGGUAUCGCGUGGUCUGCUCCUCGAGUACGUAUCUGCGUCGAUCCUGGCAUCCUCGCAACGCUCUGUGGCAUUAAUUUGCUGCUUGGCUUGCGACUUUUACUUUGAGGAAAUUAGAGUGUUCACGGCAGGCAUUUGCUUUGAAUAUAUUAGCAUGGAAUAAUAACAUAGGACUUCGGUUUUAUUUUGUUGGUUUCUAAGGCUGAAGUAAUGAUUAAUAGGGACAAUUGGGGGCACUCGUACAAAUCCGUCAGAGGUGGAAUUCUUGGUUUGGAUUCUGACGAACUACUGCGAAAGCAUUUGCCAAGGAUGUUUUCAUUGAUCAAGAAC
rnacentral:rRNA from 1 species